AGAAUCAACGCUGGCGGCGUGCCUAACACAUGCAAGUCGAACGAGAAAGUGGAGCAAUCCAUGAGUAAAGUGGCGACCGGGUGAGUAACACGUGACUAACCUACCCUACAGUGGGGGAUAACUCCGGGAAACCGGGGCUAAUACCGCAUAACAUCGUAAGAUCAAAGGAGCAAUUCGCUGAAGGAGGGGGUCGCGGCUGAUUAGUUAGUUGGUGAGGUAACGGCUCACCAAGACGAAGAUCAGUAGCCGGCCUGAGAGGGCGCACGGCCACACUGGAACUGAAACACGGUCCAGACUCCUACGGGAGGCAGCAGUGGGAAUUUUGCGCAAUGGGGGAAACCCUGAUCCAGCGACGCCGCGUGUGUGAAGAAGGCCUGCGGGUUGUAAAGCACUUUUAGUGGGGACAAAAAGCUACGGAUUAAUACUCUGUGGUCUUGAUUUAACCAAAGAAAAGCACCGGCUAACUCUGUGCCAGCAGCCGC
rnacentral:rRNA from 1 species